rnacentral:rRNA from 1 species
UACAGAGGUCUCAAGCGUUGUUCGGAUUCAUUGGGCGUAAAGGGUGCGUAGGCGGCGCGGUAAGUCGGGUGUGAAAUCUUGGAGCUUAACUCCGAAACUGCAUUCGAUACUGCCGUGCUUGAGGACUGGAGAGGAGACUGGAAUUUACGGUGUAGCGGUGAAAUGCGUAGAUAUCGUAAGGAAGACCAGUGGCGAAGGCGGGUCUCGUGGGACGGUACUGACGCUGAGACGCGAAAGCGUGGGGAGCGAACAGG